rnacentral:rRNA from 1 species
GAUGAACGCUAGCGGCAGGCUUAAUACAUGCAAGUCGAGGGGCAGCACAGAUAGCAAUAUUGGGUGGCGACCGGCAAACGGGUGCGGAACACGUACACAACCUUCCUUUUGGUGGGGGAUAGCCUUUGGAAACGGAGAUUAAUACCCCAUAAGAUAUUGGAAUCGCAUGGUUUUGAUAUUAAAGAUUUAUUGCCAGAAGAUGGGUGUGCGUAUGAUUAGGUAGUUGGUGAGGUAAAGGCUCACCAAGCCGACGAUCAUUAACUGGUGUGAGAGCACGACCAGUAACACGGGCACUGAGACACGGGCCCGACUCCUACGGGAGGCAGCAGUAAGGAAUAUUGGUCAAUGGACGGAAGUCUGAACCAGCCAUGCCGCGUGGAGGAUGAAGGUCCUCUGGAUUGUAAACUUCUUUUAUAUGGGGCGAAAAAGGGCCAUUCUUGGUCAACUGACGGUACCAUAUGAAUAAGCACCGGCUAACUCCGUGCCAGCCGCCGCGGUAAGAC